CAGGGGGAAGUCUCGGAUCAUUGACAACUAAAUAGGAGCAGCAACGUCCAAUUAAAGGGCCCUGAUCACGAAACACAGUAACAAAAUGAAUCUGGAGAGUUUGAUCCUGGCUCAGAACGAACGCUGGCGGCGUGCCUAACACAUGCAAGUCCAACGUGAAAGGGGAGCAAUCCCCCGGUAGGGUGGCAAACGGGUGAGUAAUACAUGGGUGAUCUACCUUAGGGAUGGGGAUAUCCUUCCGAAAGGAGGGGCAAUACCGAAUAUUGUCCGGAGCCGUGAAGGGUUCCGGGGAAAGGGAGGCCUCUGAUACAAGCUUUCGCCUUAAGAUGAGCCCAUGGCCCAUCAGCUAGUUGGU
rnacentral:rRNA from 1 species